CUGGCAAUGGUUAAAUAAGUAUUUCUUAGACAGAAACAUUUACUGUUGGGAACAAAGUUUUUCCUUUCAAAUAGGAAAAAAAUUGGUGACAAGAAGCAAAACAGACGAAUGAAGAAGCCAUGGAGACCAUCAGCUAUAUCACUGCAAUGAGCAACUAGUUAAUGUGGAAUUCCCUGAUAACUAGCUGUUUUGGCACCUUUGAUGACAUUCUCAAUGAGGCUGUAGACUGAAUGACUAUGAAGACUAAACUGUGUACUUUAUCCCCUGCAGGACAAAUUUAGAG
rnacentral:lncRNA from 1 species